rnacentral:rRNA from 1 species
UACGGGGGGGGCAAGCGUUGUUCGGAAUUACUGGGCGUAAAGGGCGCGUAGGCGGCCUGCUAAGUCACACGUGAAAUCCCUCGGCUCAACCGGGGAACUGCGUGUGAUACUGGCGGGCUUGAAUUCGGGAGAGGGAUGUGGAAUUCCAGGUGUAGCGGUGAAAUGCGUAGAUAUCCGGAGGAACACCGGUGGCGAAGGCGGCUUCCUGGACCGACACUGACGCUGAGGCGCGAAAGCUAGGGGAGCAAACGGG